rnacentral:rRNA from 1 species
GGGCCAGUAGGUUGGUCAUGCCACUUGUACUGGUCUCACUGAUUCCUCCUUCCUGAUGAACUGUAAUGCCAUUAAUUUGGUGUUGCAGGGAAUCUGGACUGUUACUUUGAAAAAAUUAGAGUGUUUAAAGCAGGCUCACGCUUGAAUACAUUAGCAUGGAAUAACGAAAUAGGACGUUUGAUUUUAUUUUGUUGGUUUCUAGGAUCGACGUA